GUUCAAGGCAGGGGGCGGGGCGUCUCCGAGCGGCGGGGCCAAGGGAGGGCGCAACAGCUGCUACCUCAACACUUUCUGACCCAACGGUCACCCAGCGCCGGACUCGCUGCGCCCCGGCGGCUCUAGGGACCCCUGGCGCCUACACUUAGCUCCGCGCCCGAGAGAAUGUUGGACCGACGACACAAGACCUCAGACUUGUGUUAUUCUAGCAGCUGAACACACCCCAGGCUCUUCUGACCGGCAGUGGCUCUGGAAGCAGUCUGGUCUAUAGGU
ensembl:lincRNA